AUGACGUCAAGUCAGCAUGCCCCUUACACCCUGGGCUACACACGUGCUACAUUGGGCGAGACAAUGAGAUGCAACUCUGCGAAGAUUAGCUAAUCUAUAAACUCGUUCUAAGUUCGGAUUGUAGGCUGCAACUCGCCUGCAUGAAGGUGGAAUCGCUAGUAAUCGCUGGUCAGCUAUACAGCGGUGAAUCCGUUCCCGGGCCUUGUACACACCGCCCGUCACACCAUGGAAGCUGGUUAUGCCCGAAGUCGUUACUUUAACCAUUUGGAGAAGGAUGCCUAAGGUAGAAUUAGUGACUGGGGUGAAGUCGUAACAAGGUAGCCGUACCGGAAGGUGCGGCUGGAUCACCUCCUUU
rnacentral:rRNA from 1 species